AACGAACGCUGGCGGCAUGCCUAACACAUGCAAGUCGAACGAGACCUCCGUGACAAGUGGCGCACGGGUGCGUAACGCGUGGGAACCGGCCCUUAGGUUCGGGAUAACUCCCCUUAAGGGGUGCUAAUGCAGGAUAAUUUCCUCUGACAAAAGAUUUAUCGCACUUGUGGGGGCCCGCGUUGUAUGAGCUAGUUGGUAUGGGAAAAGCCUACCAAGGCUACGAUCCAUAGCUGGUCUGAGAGGAAGAUCAGACACACUGGGACUGGGACACGGUCCAGACUACUGCGCGAGGCAGCCGAGGGUAAUAUAGGACAACGGGCGAGAGCCUGAUGCAGCAAGGCCGGGAGAGUGAUGAAGGCCGUAGAGUAGUGAAGCUCUUUUACACGGGGUGAUAAUGACAGUACCGGGAGAAUAAGCACCGGCUAACUCCGUG
rnacentral:rRNA from 1 species